GGACCGACACUGAUCACCGGAACAAUAAAAUUAUACAGGACUAUGCAUAUAGGGGUGUUACACUGGAGCUUUGGAUGGAUGAAUGGAAAAAACUGCUUUUCAGAUUUCAUCUAGAGUGACUUCUCUUAUAAAAGAGGCAUUCAUAUUAUGAGUGAUCCUAGGCUGAAAAGAAUCCAAAGUAGAAGAAGUGAUAGGAGGGUUACUAGUAGUAUAAAUAUGGCGAAAAUAAUCCAUAGCUACUUUAGUAACCUCUUGUUAUCCUGUGUGCCAAACUUCAGAAGAAUCAAGAAUUCUUGAGAUAGUAUUCCUUCUUCGUCGUUAAACAACUUGAGCAUGAAAGAAAG
rnacentral:misc_RNA from 1 species